rnacentral:rRNA from 1 species
UAGAGUUUGAUCCUGGCUCAGAGCGAACGCUGGCGGCAGGCUUAACACAUGCGAGUCGAACGCUCGUAGCAAUACGGGAGUGGCAGACGGGUGAGUAACACGUGGGAACGUGCCCUUCGGUUCGGAAUAACGAUGGGAAACUGUCAGUAAUACCGGAUAAGCCCUUCGGGGGAAAGAUUCAUCGCCAAAAGAGCAGCCCGCGUUAGAUUAGGUAGUUGGUAGGGUAAAAGCCUACCAAGCCGACGAUCUAUAGCUGGUCUGAGAGGAUGAUCAGCCACACUGGGACUGAGACACGGCCCAGACUCCUACGGGAGGCAGCAGUGGGGAAUAUUGGACAAUGGGGGAAACCCUGAUCCAGCAAUGCCGCGUGAGUGAUGAAGGCCUUCGGGUUGUAAAGCUCUUUUGUCAGGGACGAUGAUGACGGUACCUGACGAAUAAGCUCCGGCUAACUUCGUGCCAGCAGCCGCGGUA